UUUCUUGUGGUGUAAAUAACACGUCAGUUUUUCAAGUUGAAGAUGAGUUGUGCUGCUCUAAGGGGC
rnacentral:tRNA from 1 species